rnacentral:rRNA from 1 species
CCUACGGGUGGCAGCAGUGGGGGAUAUUGCACAAUGGGGGGAACCCUGAUGCAGCGACGCCGCGUGGGUGAAGAAGCGCCUCGGCGCGUAAAGCCCUGUCAGCAGGGAAGAAAAUGACGGGACCUGAAGAAGAAGCCCCGGAUAACAACGUGCCAGCAGCCGCGGUAAUAUGCAGGGGGCAAGCGUUAUCCGGAUUUACUGGGCGUAAAGGGGGCGCAGACGGCGAUGCAAGCCAGGAGUGAAAGCCCGGGGCCCAACCCCAGAACUGCUGUUGGAACUGCGUGGCUGGAGUGCAGGAGGGGCAGGCGGAAUUCCGGGUGUAGCGGUGAAAUGCGUAGAUAUCAGGAGGAACACCGAUGGCGAAGGCGGCCUGCUGGACUGCAACUGACGUUGAGGCCCGAAAGCGUGGGGAGCAAACAGGAUUAGAUACCCGGGUAGUC